CCUACGGGAGGCAGCAGUGAGGAAUAUUGCUCAAUGGGCGCGAGCCUGAACCAGCCAAGUAGCGUGAAGGAUGACUGCCCUACGGGUUGUAACCUUCUUUUAUAAAGGAAUAAAGUGAGGCACGUGUGCCUUUUUGUAUGUACUUUAUGAAUAAGGAUCGGAUCACUCCGUGCCAGCCGCCGCGGUAAUACGGAGGUUCCGAGCGUUACCCGGAUUUAUUGGGUUUAAAGUGAGCGUCGCUGGGUUGUUAAGUCAGUUGUGAAAGUUUGCGGCUCAACCGUAAAAUUGCAAUUGAUACUGGCAGUCUUGAGUAUAGUUGAGGUAGGCGGAAUUCGUGGUGUAGCGGUGAAAUGCUUAGAUAUCACGAAGAACUCCGAUUGCGAAGGCAGCUUACUAAACUGCCACUGACAUUGAUGCUCGAAAGUGUGGGUAUCAAACAGGAUUAGAUACCCGGGUAGUC
rnacentral:rRNA from 1 species